rnacentral:rRNA from 1 species
CCUACGGGAGGCAGCAGUGGGGAAUAUUGCACAAUGGAGGCAACUCUGAUGCAGCGACGCCGCGUGAGUGAAGAAGUAUUUCGGUAUGUAAAGCUCUAUCAGUAGGGAAGAUAAUGACGGUACCUACAGAAGAAGCCCCGGCUAAAUACGUGCCAGCAGCCGCGGUAAUACGUAUGGGGCAAGCGUUAUCCGGAUUUACUGGGUGUAAAGGGAGUGUAGGCGGCAGUACAAGUCAGGAGUGAAAACUUGGGGCUCAACCCCAAGACUGCUUUUGAAACUGUACAGCUAGAGUGUAGGAAGGGCAAGCGGAAUUCCUGGUGUAGCGGUGAAAUGCGUAGAUAUCAGGAAGAACACCGGUGGCGAAGGCGGCUUGCUGGACUAUAA